GGCGAACGCUGGCGGCAGGCUUAACACAUGCAAGUCGAGCGGGCCUUUCGGGGUCAGCGGCGGACGGGUGAGUAACGCGUGGGAACGUGCCCUCUGGUUCGGAAUAACUCAGGGAAACUUGAGCUAAUACCGGAUACGCCCUUUUGGGGAAAGGCUUGCUGCCGGAGGAUCGGCCCGCGUCUGAUUAGCUAGUUGGUGAGGUAACGGCUCACCAAGGCGACGAUCAGUAGCUGGUCUGAGAGGAUGAUCAGCCACACUGGGACUGAGACACGGCCCAGACUCCUACGGGAGGCAGCAGUGGGGAAUAGUGGACAAGGGGCGCAAGCCUGAUCCAGCCAUGCCGCGUGAGUGAUGAAGGCCUUAGGGUUGUAAAGCUCUUUUGUCCGGGACGAUAAUGACGGUACCGGAGGAAUAAGCCCCGGCUAACUUCGUG
rnacentral:rRNA from 1 species